GCACAAUCCCAUCAUUGAGCCAGUGCAGAUUCAAACUGUUCCUGUAUGCCUCCGAGAUGAUCCCCUCUUCCACCAGACCCUCCAGCAGAGCGUGAACCUCGCCGGGCAGGGCCACGGAGGCGUUUCAAAUCGAGUGGGGUGGUGCGUCGUGGUUGGAGUGGGAGGUCUGCUUCAGAACCGACGGGAAUGCAUGCACCAGACUGGAGGUGGCUACAUCAUACUUGCCAGGGACUUUCACACAAUGCAAGAGGAUGUAGUCUGGGGUAACACUUCCCUUAAAUAUUCAAUCUCCAGAUAUAACCUGCUAUGUAAGCUGUGGAUUUUAUACACAUAUUUGUCAAUAAUUCCACGUAGAUAUUUCUGUACUCUCAAGCGCGCUUACAUGAUCUGGUCAACAAAAUAGGUUUUGCAAACAAAGUGUCAACAAAAGAAUGAAUGCUAAUCAACUGCUAUAAUCUCUUUGAGGUACUGGAACUGGUUUGGCUAAAUGCUACGGGCAAUAAUGACUCAUAAAAAAAAAAAAGCUCUCCAGCCACACCUUUCGCUCCACGUGUUUAGUAUAUUUAGAGACGUAAUCAUAAAGAGUUAAUUUGCUGUGGCGUUGGGGUUUAAAAUUGGUACCCAUAAAUAAAACAAAAACCCUGUCUGCUAGUAUAUUACGGAUGACAAAUAAAUUAAACUUUGCUUUGACUAUACAAAACAGAACCUAACAGCAUAAUCUUUAAUUUAGUGGGAUAAUCUGCUUAGUAUAUUUGAUCAACAUGCCAAUGUUUUUGGCAUCUUUUACUUAUUAGUAUCUCCUGAAGGAGUUACUGAUAAGAUUCCCUCAGGAGUCUUAUUAAACUCCUAAGGGAGUAAAAAAAGCAAGAGGUUUUUUUACACCACUCUUGCUUUAUGCGUUCUUUCAAGACUCUAUAAAGUAGAUUCUGAAUAUCACCGUAAGUGAAAAUAUCAAAUAUCGUUAUGCUUUGAUGCAAAUUACUCCAUUAUCCGUUCUAAAGGUUUUCAAAGUGGAUAAGCAAUGUUAAAGGAUGCUGUCCUUUGAAAAUUUAGAAGGAGAUGAAAUGCAGUGAUGGCAUGUUCUCUAUGUAAACCGAUUAUUAAAAAAACAAAACAAAAAAAAAAACCAAAAGAAUAAAAAAAUUUACUUUUCUAACAGAGAACCAGGCCAAGUAGUGGCAUUUAUGUCAAAAAUGAGACUUCCAGCUACUUCCAUCCACUGCAGAUAGGUUAUAUACCAACAUUGUUUAGCCCACAAACACCAUAUAUUAUGGUUGCAGGUUCUGGGAGAAAAGGCAAAGCUUUUAGUCAGACUAAAAAUACUGGUUAGGACCAGGUAUGGGUCAAGCAUGAGAUUAUUACAGAAUAACAACCUGUGAGUAAACAUUUAAAAAAAAAAAACUGAGUACAAAUGUCAGGAUCAGAUUUACACAAAGUUUUAAAACAAUGCUUUAAAAACUUUUUAAACCUUUGGUAUACAUACCAGUAUUUGGUGCAUGCCUAGUCAGAACCAUAGCAGAAAACAUAACAUCUACCUCAAUAGUGCUCCAAUUUUAGUCUCUAGAGUAAAAACGCUUGUUGUAAACAGUCAUUCACCAAUGUUUUAGAGAAAUGAGAGACUGGUCUCACCAUAGAGCGCUUUUAAAUCCCUGUGUAGGGUGUUAGUCUGUUGGAUCUCCAAGCUACUGCUCCCACACAUUUUUUUUUUUUACCAUCACAAUUCUUCACUUUGGGGAUCAAGCUGAUGAUGAACAUUUAGAAAUCACAACGAUAUUUUGGGGUGACCCUUGCAUUAUGUAAUGAUGCCAAAAUUUGGAGUUGAGUCAUUUCUUUACUGCAACUUUCUACUGCAUUCUUGGUUGCCUGAUGUUUACAAAAGAAUAAUAAUAUAAAAAAAGAGAAAAUGUUUAAAUAAAUGCGCACAAGCUGCUGAAACAGAGAUAAUGGUCGAAUUUUACAUCAUCGAGAUUUAAUUGGAAACUUGUUCCUCAUGUUUACGUGACCAACAUGUCGGAAACCAAUUGCGUCCUUAUGGAGACAGGUCAAUGUACGCGUUAAGUCACUGUGACCAAGGCUCAAGUUGUUUUGUUUGUGUUGUAGCUGGGGAGGUUUCACAUGUGUUUUUCAGUGAACCCUGGAGGAACUACAUCUACACAGCAAGUACAAAUGAGGACGUAGUCUCCUCCUCACACUGACACAUACGCACACAAAAAGAGCGUGUUAAAAUGAGACUUGGGUCGACUUUUAGCAUGGAAAAUAUAUUUUUUAGUACGUAUAAAAGAAAUGGGAAACUAUCUCUUUUACCUAGAAAGUUUGACUUUGUAAGAAGUGAAACUGAGAAAUAGGAAGAUUAGACCUAUAUUUUCCAAACCAGUUCAGUUUAAAAAAUUUGAUGCCUCCUUUUAAAUGGCCGAAUGUUGAAAAAAAACGAGCUUUAUUCUUUUACAUUCGCUGUAAAUAGUAGAACACUGAGUAAUUGCAACCAAAUGAGGAAGGUGUCUGUGUUCAGUACAAUGAGCCACCGAUAUGAAAUUACCUUGUGUCAGCUGAGGUGAGGAACAUUCAGAAAAGUGAAAUGCAACAAUAUGCUGACAUUUAAAGUAUAUUCUUUAUAAAGUCAGUCUGAAAACAAACCUAGCACCGAUUUUAUCUCCACUACCACCUUUCAUAUAAUUCAGACGUCUGCCGUUUGCUUUAUUAUGGAAACUGUAGAUUCAAUAUGAUUUAUAACCACAUUAAAAAUCAUGAUCAACAAGCAUGAUCUCACAUGCUCUGCUGCCAUUAAAAUGACCUACUUACUGCAUACAAUGUCGACAAGAACAAACAAGAUAGUCCUUAAUCUUCUCUUUCAUAGGAAACAGGUUUAUAGGCUGUUUCAGAGUGGCAACCAAAAGAAAUAAAGAAUUAACUCUAACAAUCUUUAAAUGACUAUACAGAGAUUAAAAAAGUAACAGUAACAAGGCAGUUAUUUUCCAUGAGGCCAGACUGAUAUCUUUUUUUAAAUCCAUUUUGUAUUAUGCAGUUUGAAUAAAGAGCCACAGGGUUUCUAUGCCAUUAGUAUUUAUAUGCAAGACCAAUAGCAAUUCUGACAAAUACCAUAAGAAGACUCCAACAAAAUUAACCUUAACCAAUUUAAAUCAAAAUUUUACUUCCGAGGAGCUCACAGCAAGUUUCAGAACAAUUACUCGGGUUUUAUUCAACUACUGAAACGAGAUGCUAGAUGAUAAAGUACAAACUCUGUUAAGUGGCUAAUGAUGCAAUCAUAAAAUAGUCUGUUUAAAAAAAAAGAAUUAAUUAGCAGAUUUGUGGUCUGAAUAGCUCAAGUCAAAUGAAAUGUUUCACUUGCGUCAGGGGCUUCGUCGUUUGUUCUGUGUAAUAACCAGCCAGAGCAACAAAUUAUGCAAGACUGGAGGCUCUGGGCACAUUUCUCCAAAACAGAAAGGAAUUUAUGGAAGAAGCAACAAGUAAAUAACCAUCUGUACGUACUGAAAAUAUGGGUGUAUUUGUACUUGUUAAAAAACUGAAAUGGUUAAACUUUCAGAAUUACGACUUUUUUAAGAAUCACAAAGAACUUCAGAUAUUCCUACAUAACCAAGUAACCUUCUUUACGAGUUCACCUGAAUGAGACGCAUCUACAAACCAGUGUGAAAGGACCAAUUUUUACGCUAGUUGUGAUUUAAGCAAUUGUGUGUGCUUAAAUCAAUUAUUAUGUGAUUAUUUAAAUCACAGUAAUAUCUAACAUAUUAAUAAGCAAAAAAACCCCAAAAAACAACAUGUGACCUUUUUUGUAAAGAUUUCCUUUCUUACUAUGAUCGUUAGGCAAAGAUUCUUUUGAGAUUUAUCUUUUUGGGACAAGCUUUAUUUCUUUAUCAAAAGGUGGAAAUGCAUUCAGUUAGUAUUCAUUCAAAGUUGUUUGUCAGAUUUGUGCUUUUACAUGACAUAUCUGUGUUUUAAUUAGAGGAAAGAGAGCACAAUGAGGUCGAAUCAAAUCUAUAACGCGAAUCAACGUUUCUGACAAUAAAAAAAAAAGAAAAAAGUCUGUUAUUGAGAAUAGUUAAGACUAAAACGCAGCUAUAAUGUCAGUGUCAGAAGCGUUCUUGUGUGUUUGUUCUCCAGGUCUCUACCACGCUCUUGUGAUCUGCUUCGGUCUUGGGGGUCAUGUUGCAUUGGAGCAGUAGUCCUGGAUACCUGGCAGAAGAAACAGAAAAUGCUUCAGAUAAAUCUGCUGAGAUCUAAUCAGGAAUUAGACCAGCCUAACAAACAAGUCAUCAAAAAAAAAAGAGGGACUUCACUAGAAAAGGGAAUGUGGCCAAGUGUACGUCAUACUUCCCCACAUCCAAAGGAUAGAAAAAGACACUGAAUUAUGAAAGAAAUGGAAUAUGGGAAA